CCUCUCUCUGAUGACCUAAAGAUGGAAUUUUCCUGCAGGCUUUAACAUAAACCCGGUCAGUGUGCACGAUCUUCUCCCCAGUGGGCGAAGUUCACAGCCCCAAACGCCUGGUGCCCCAUAGCGGGCUCCACGCCACCUGCCGCUCUGGCCCAGCAGCCACCGCGAGCCACCGCCGCCAUCUUGACCCGGCGUGCCAAUGCCGACGCAUGCGCACUCUUAAUAGCAUCCUUUAGUAUUAUGCGUAGAGAAAUGUAUAAUCUUAUUCUUUGCACUCUCUUUCGUCUUCCCAUUUUGAGAUGCAUUUUUUUCCUGCUUUUUCAGAACAUACAAUGUUUAUGUAUUAUUCUUAUACCCAUAAUUCCAGCCUUAUUUUAGCCUGGGCUCUGCAAUAUAGGAAAUGCUCACCGUCAGUUCCUUUGCCAAUUUCUCCUAUCGUCUCUUAUUGGGUGAAGCCCAUCGUCUGGUAUGAGAGUGAAAGCGCAGGUGCUCUGGGUGCACACGGGAAGGCAUGGACGCCAUCUCUUGAGAAACCAGAAAGCUACCAAGAGGAAGUCAUGCUGUCUAGUUUGAGAUCCAAAGGAUCAUGUGCCAAAGGAGGAGCUUUAGCCGUGAUGAAGCGUCGGCAUCCCUCCCCCGAGGCUGGGACCACUGGACGCUGAAUGCAUCCAUCUUCCUUCGCGUGUCUCUCACUCAGCAUCUUUUCUAACGUCUACUUCCCACCAGGCUGCAGGCCCGUGUUAACCUUCAGAUUUGGGAAAGAACUGGAUUGGCUGCUGGCGCUGGAAACUUUUCUUCACGAACGCCUUUUAUACGGUUUUGGCAGGCACAUAUAAUACCAGCAGAGAGAGAAAUCCCGCUGGCGAGAGAAAAUAAAACCUU
rnacentral:lncRNA from 1 species